rnacentral:rRNA from 1 species
AACGAACGCUGGCGGCAUGCCUAACACAUGCAAGUCGAACGAGAGCUUCGGCUCUAGUGGCGCGCGGGUGCGUAACGCGUGGGAAUCUGCCCUUGGGUUCGGAAUAACAGUUGGAAACGACUGCUAAUACCGGAUGAUGACGUAAGUCCAAAGAUUUAUCGCCCUGGGAUGAGCCCGCGUCGGAUUAGCUAGUUGGUGGGGUAAAGGCCUACCAAGGCGACGAUCCGUAGCUGGUCUGAGAGGAUGAUCAGCCACACUGGGACUGAGACACGGCCCAGACUCCUACGGGAGGCAGCAGUGGGGAAUAUUGGACAAUGGGCGCAAGCCUGAUCCAGCAAUGCCGCGUGAGUGAUGAAGGCCUUAGGGUUGUAAAGCUCUUUUACCCGGGAAGAUAAUGACUGUACCGGGAGAAUAAGCCCCGGCUAACUCCGUGCCAGCCGCCGCAGUAA